GAAGGUUUACCACUGGUAGUGAAUUGGUGUUUAUAGGAGGGAGAAGGUUUACCACUGGUAGUGAAUUGGUGUUUAUAGGAGGGAGAAGGUUUACCACUGGUAGUGAAUUGAAGAUUUAGGAGGGAUUAGGUUUACCACUGGUAGUGAAUUGGUGUUUAUAGGAGGGAGAAGGUUUACCACUGGUAGUGAAUUGGUGUUUAUAGGAGGGAGAAGGUUUACCACUGGUAGUGAAUUGGUGUUUAUAGGAGGGAGCAGGUUUACCACUGGUAGUGAAUUGAAGAUUUAGGAGGGGGCUUGUAGAAGCUCUGAUAGAAAAAUGAAGAGUGAGGCAGCAUGAGGCAGAAGUCUCUCUACAAUGGAGAUGAGAGAAAUAAGUUAAUGAAGAACUAUUAGAUUUUCCUAUGACCAUGACUCAAAAAACCCAAGUUAUGUCCUUCUGACCCUGAUUAAGCAAAUUUUGUCUCUGCUCAGUGUUAAGAGGUGGAUGAAAUGUGUUCCAGAUUUAAGUGGACAGGAUUUAUGUCAAAAGAGGAUUAGUUGCCUUUGGCUAACAAUUUAUCUUUGUUUUUUGUAAUGAAGGAUAUUUUUGAUAGUUAUAAAGAAUUGGAGAAGGAAUCCAUUAUAGUUGUGUGUGCUUACAUUCAUAUUUACACUUUUCAUGUUUUUCUGUCACAUCUAUCUAACAAAGACCUGUUUGUGUCAAGUUUUCACAAACCUUUGGUAUGUCAUCAGUUCUGUUAUAGUUAUCAUGGUAAACUAGCACCAGGCAGUUCAGAGGCUACACUUCAGACACCUGCACUGCUAGACGAAGUUUCAAAUAAUUUGGUCAAAGAAAUUUAAUGAUGAAAAUUUACGAAAAUGUUUUGUUGCAUCAAGAAUUUGAUGUGGUAUAAUGUGAUCAAUGAAAAGGAAACAUUUAUCAAGGAAAACAUUAAUCCCAAAGUAUAGUUGUAAUAAAGGGUUUUGAUUAUUUAUCAUUGAUAGAAGAACCCUUUGCCCUUUGGCUACCACAGAGGUAAUGCACUUUGUUUAAUGCACUUCAUUAUAGGCACAGUAUGUCUUUUUGUGAUUUACACAAGAUAAAUGUCACUACAAUCCACAGAUUUUCUUCUUUCUUCCGAUUCUCUUGGGGUUUGAGGUAAUUGAGUUUCACAGAUUCAUAAAUUAUGUUUGUGAGAUUUUUAGCCCACCAUGAGCAAAUAUCCAUUUUUCCAUGAAUCAUCUGUCCACCCUUCAGCAUUACUUAUUUCUGGAGAGGUAGUACUGGAUGAAUCAUUUUGAAUUCCAUAUGUAUCUGUCAGGUUCCUCUUGGUCCGUAGUUGUACAUGUGUUCAAUUUGGAGUUUAUUGAAAAAGCAAAAUGGCAAUCGAAGAGAAAAUAAAAAAUGAAGAAGGAGGAAAGAGAAGGAGAUAGUACCAGUUGUAGAACCAAUGAAAAUCACAUUGUGGCACCAAAAUCAGAUCUCUUGUAUUGUCGCUAUUUCACAGCAUUCAUCCUGCUUUGUUGUGCAUACACCCCCCCCCCCUUUUUUUCCCACAUGUAAUGAUGAGGACAUACAUUCAAUAUCAUCAUCAAUAAACUUAACAAGUUGAAUGAAUUUACAAGCAGUCUUUAAUUUUAUAUUUUUUUCUAAACAUGAACCUGAUGAUUUUAUAAAAAAGGAUUUUGUAUUUUAAGAUAGUUUUUCACAUAUCACUAUAAAAUUUCAUCAGAAUGUGUUUAGGAGCUGUUACCCUAUGUUGAUUCCUGCUGUGAUGAUUUGUUUACAAUGUAUGGUUAGCUUUGUGCACACAUCAGUAAAGCUAUGUUAUUA